GUUCUUGCAGGUGCAGCACCACCAAGAUUCACAUCGGAUCCGUCGUAAAAUCAAAUUUAUGCGACGCGCCAGGUGAUGAGAAUCUUGAUGAUGCUGCAUCAGCAGGCAC
rfam:Triticum aestivum genome assembly, contig: Triticum_aestivum_CS42_TGACv1_scaffold_526392_6DL